GAUGAACGCUGGCGGCGUGCUAACACAUGCAAGUCGAACGGUGAAGCAGGAGCUUGCUCUUGUGGAUCAGUGGCGAACGGGUGAGUAACACGUGAGCAACCUGCCCCUGACUCUGGGAUAAGCGCUGGAAACGGCGUCUAAUACUGGAUAUGUGAUGUGACCGCAUGGUCUGCAUCUGGAAAGAAUUUCGGUUGGGGAUGGGCUCGCGGCCUAUCAGCUUGGUGGUGAGGUAAUGGCUCACCAAGGCGUCGACGGGUAGCCGGCCUGAGAGGGUGACCGGCCACACUGGGACUGAGACACGGCCCAGACUCCUACGGGAGGCAGCAGUGGGGAAUAUUGCACAAUGGGCGGAAGCCUGAUGCAGCAACGCCGCGUGAGGGAUGACGGCCUUCGGGUUGUAAACCUCUUUUAGCAGGGAAGAAGCGAAAGUGACGGUACCUGCAGAAAAAGCACCGGCUAGCUACGUGCCAGCCGCCGCCGUAA
rnacentral:rRNA from 1 species